UGCGUAGGCGGAUGCUUAAGUCAGAUGUGAAAGCCCUGGGCUUAACCUAGGAAUUGCAUCUGAUACUGGGCAUCUAGAGUAUGGUAGAGGAUAGUGGAAUUUCAGGUGUAGCGGUGAAAUGCGUAGAUAUCUGAAGGAACACCAGUGGCGAAGGCGGCUAUCUGGGCCAAUACUGACGCUGAGGUACGAAAGCAUGGGUAGCGAACAGGAUUAGAUACCCUGGUAGUCC
rnacentral:rRNA from 1 species